CCACACUUUACUAGUACACUUUAUUAACUGUCUGAUAUGUCCAAAAGGUCAAUUUACCAUGUUAUCAUAAUUUGGGGAUAAAAUACUAUGUUAUGUCUAUGAAAGAUUAUCUUCAUUUGUCGGGAGCCUUAAGUUGGGCAGCAUUUCUCUUAUACUUCUCUUCGAUCUCUCUGAUGUUUUCCAGAUCUUCAGACAUGAAUUCUUCGUACUCUCUGUCGGCUUUAGCAUUUUCCUCUUCAAGAUGUUUCUAGUGGAAACAAUGCACAGUUUUUAAUUGCUCAAGGAGGCCAGAAGAGGGUGUCAGAUGGGAGCUGAACGUAAGUCCUCUGGAAGAACAACAAAUACUUGUAACUGCUGGGACAUUUCUCCAGCCCCUGGACCGUCUGUCUGCCUGCCUGCCUGCUGUCUGUCCAUCUGUCUGGAAUAUCUAUCUGGAAUAUCUAUCUACCUACCUACCUAGCUGGAAUAUAUAAUAUGU
rnacentral:lncRNA from 1 species